rnacentral:rRNA from 1 species
AGAUGCGAUCAUACCAACACUAAUGCACUUGAUCCCAUCGGAACUCCGAAGUUAAGGGUGCUUGGGAGAAAGUAGUGCUAAGAUGGGCUUUGUCACAGGACUUUCACGGACACAGGCA